rnacentral:rRNA from 1 species
UACGGGGGGGGCAAGCGUUGUUCGGAAUUACUGGGCGUAAAGGGCUCGUAGGCGGCCAACUAAGUCGGAUGUGAAAUCCCCGGGCUCAACCCGGGAACUGCGUCCGAUACUGGCAGGCUUGAAUCCGGGAGAGGGAUGUGGAAUUCCAAGUGUAGCGGUGAAAUGCGUAGAUAUCUGGAGGAACACCGGUGGCGAAGGCGGCAUCCUGGACCGGUAUUGACGCUGAUGCGCGAAAGCCAGGGGAGCAAACGGG